GGGCAGGUACCCAAGCGGCCAAAGGGGACUGACUGUAAAUCAGUUGGCAACGCCUUCGGAGGUUCGAAUCCUUCCCUGCCCA
rnacentral:tRNA from 1 species